UAUUAUUUUGGAUGUAAAUUAAUUUAACUUGAGUAGUAUUAGUUGGUCUUGAAACUUAAAGAAUUUGGCGGUAUUUUAGUCUUUUUAGAGGAAUCUGUUUCGUAAUCGAUACUCCACGUUGGACCUUUCUUGAAUUAAUAGUUUGUAUAUCGUUGUUGUUGAGUAUUUUUGUAGAUAAUAAUGUUCUGGGUUCUUAGGUUGAUGAAAUAUUUCAAAUCAAGGUGCAGUUUAUAUUUAAGUGGGGAUGGAUUACAAUAUAUUUAAUGUAUAUGGAUUGUUGAUUGUAAAAUAUUAUUAUGAAGGUGGAUUUAAUUGUAAUUUUAUGAAGAUUGUUAUUUUGAAUAUUGCUCUAAAAUAUGUACACAUCGCCCGUCGCUCUCGUGAUUAAGUGAG
rnacentral:rRNA from 1 species